CCUACGGGAGGCAGCAGUGAGGAAUCUUCCACAAUGGGCGAAAGCCUGAUGGAGCAACGCCGCGUGAAGGAUGAAGGCCUUCGGGUUGUAAACUUCUUUUAUGAGUGAAGAAUAUGACGGUAACUCAUGAAUAAGCACCGGCUAACUACGUGCCAGCAGCCGCGGUCAUACGUAGGGUGCAAGCAUUAUCCGGAGUGACUGGGCGUAAAGAGUUGCGUAGGCGGUUUAAUAAGUGAAUAGUGAAACCUGGUGGCUCAACCAUACAGACUAUUAUUCAAACUGUUAAACUCGAGAAUGGUAGAGGUAACUGGAAUUUCUAGUGUAGGAGUGAAAUCCGUAGAUAUUAGAAGGAACACCGAUGGCGUAGGCAGGUUACUGGGCCAUUUCUGACGCUAAGGCACGAAAGCGUGGGGAGCGAACCGGAUUAGAUACCCGGGUAGUCCACGCCGUAAACGAUGGAUACUAGCUGUUGGAGGUAUCGACCCCUUCAGUAGCGAAGCUAACGCGUUAAGUAUCCCGCCUGUGGAGUACGGCCGCAAGGCUAAAACAUAAAGGAAUUGACGGGGACCCGCACAAGCGGUGGAUUAUGUUCUUUAAUUCGAUGAUAACCGAAGAACCUUACCAGGGCUUGACAUCCAGGGAAGGUCUGCGAAAGUAGACUGUGCCUUUUGGAACCCUGUGACAGGUGAUGCAUGGCCGUCGUCAGCUCGUGUCGUGAGAUGUUAGGUUAAGUCCUUCAACGAGCGCAACCCUUGUGAAUAGUUGUAUUUUUCUAUUCAGACUGCCCCGGUAACGGGGAGGAAGGAGGGGAUGAUGUCAGGUCAGUAUUUCCCUUACGUCCUGGGCUAGAAACGUAAUACAAUGGCUAGUACAAUGCGCAGCGAAGCCGCGAGGUGAAGCAAAUCGCAUCAAAGCUAGUCCCAGUUCGGAUUGUAGGCUGAAACUCGCCUGCAUGAAGUCGGAAUCGCUAGUAAUCGCAAAUCAGCAAGUUGCGGUGAAUACGUUCCCGGGUCUUGUACACACCGCCCGUCAAACCAUGAAAGUGACCAACACCCGAAGUCCGAUUCGUCGGCCUAAGGUGGGGGGCAUGAUUGGGGUUAAGUCGUAACAAGGUAUCCGUACCGGAAGGUGCGGAUG
rnacentral:rRNA from 1 species